rnacentral:tRNA from 1 species
AGCAGAGUGGCGCAGCGGAAGCGUUGUGGGCCCAAAACCCAGAGGUUGAUAGAGCAAAACCAUCCUCUGCUA